rnacentral:misc_RNA from 1 species
UUUCCGUAGGUGAACCUGCGGAAGGAUCAUUAUUGUAUAACCGAGGUGCGAGUGCUGUCGCUGACCCGACAGGUCGUGCACGCCCGAGUGCCCUCACACACAUCCAUCUCACCCCUAUGUGCACCACCGCGUGGGUCCCCCUUUGGCUUGUUCGGAGGGGGGCUUACGUUUUCACACAAACUUUGUAUGCAGUGUAGAAUGUAUUUUUUGUUUUUGCGAUCACGCAAUCAAUACAACUUUCAACAACGGAUCUCUUGGCUCUC